UGGGGAAUAUUGCACAAUGGGCGCAAGCCUGAUGCAGCAACGCCGCGUGAACGAUGAAGGUCUUCGGAUCGUAAAGUUCUGUUGCAGGGGAAGAUAAUGACGGUACCCUGUGAGGAAGCCCCGGCUAACUACGUGCCAGCAGCCGCGGUAAUACGUAGGGGGCUAGCGUUAUCCGGAUUUACUGGGCGUAAAGGGUGCGUAGGUGGUCUUUCAAGUCGGUGGUUAAAGGCUACGGCUCAACCGUAGUUAGCCUCCGAAACUGGAAGACUUGAGUGCAGGAGAGGAAAGUGGAAUUCCCAGUGUAGCGGUGAAAUGCGUAGAUAUUGGGAGGAACACCAGUAGCGAAGGCGGCUAUCUGGACAGUAACUGACGCUGAGGCGCGAAAGCGUGGGGAGCAAACAGG
rnacentral:rRNA from 1 species